rnacentral:rRNA from 1 species
GACGAACGCUGGCGGCGUGCCUAAUACAUGCAAGUAGAACGCUGAAGGAGGAGCUUGCUUCUCUGGAUGAGUUGCGAACGGGUGAGUAACGCGUAGGUAACCUGCCUGGUAGCGGGGGAUAACUAUUGGAAACGAUAGCUAAUACCGCAUAAUAUUGACUAUUGCAUGAUAGUCAGUUGAAAGGUGCAACUGCACCACUACCAGAUGGACCUGCGUUGUAUUAGCUAGUUGGUGGGGUAACGGCUCACCAAGGCGACGAUACAUAGCCGACCUGAGAGGGUGAUCGGCCACACUGGGACUGAGACACGGCCGAGACUCCUACGGGAGGCAGCAGUAGGGAAUCUUCGGCAAUGGACGGAAGUCUGACCGAGCAACGCCGCGUGAGUGAAGAAGGUUUUCGGAUCGUAAAGCCCUGUUGUAAGAGAAGAACGAGUGUGAGAGUGGAAAGCUCACACUGUGACGGUAUCUUACCAGAAAGGGACGGCUAACUACGUG